rnacentral:tRNA from 1 species
AAAUUUUAUAGUAUUUGGGUCACCCAAUGUGCUGUAUCUGAAAAUGUAACCUUACACUUCUCCAAUAUUUCUCAGUAUAUUAAGCGUUCUUGGGAUGCAAACUAUGUUAUGACUCUGCAUAACCUUACCAAGACAAUUGUCAAAAUCAAUGAGACUAAGGGUCUAUCUUGACAACCUCUUCCUUUUACCAGGGCUUGACUGAACAUUGAAAAAACCUGAUAGCCAAAUUACUAAUCUUAUAAUGCCGUUACCCUGGCCUUACUGUUUAUAAUAGUGAUAGUAUUUUCUUGUGUUGUGAGAUGCUUAUGUAACCAUGUAAAGACCACCGAAUGAAAAACAGCAAUGCUGGCUGAAGUCCUGGCAGCACAGUCAGAGCGGGGAGAUGUGGGGACAAGUGCAUGGAGUACUGUGUACGUGGCAUAUGUUGAGGGCGUCUGAGUGGCAAACCACUCCCCCAUGCUAGUCGUGUGAGUGGAAAACCGCUUACCCCAUAGGCACAGCCCUGGGUGUGGGGCCAUGUGUUGCAGUCCCUGUGCUUGCUCCAUGGCCCACUCCUCGAUUGGUCACCACAGGGACAGUUGGCCAGUAAUUGUACUGGUGGCUGCUUGUAAUCCGCAUAGCUACUGCCUGAGUAUACAUACAUGGUAACUGCUCAAUAAAAUUAGACCUGCUUCCUGCUUGGCCUCUGGAGGUCUUGAUUAAUGACUCCACAGCCACACUCUCCUCUACCCUAUUCUGUGGACCUCCUCACUGACAAGAGAGAGCCCACACAAAAGUUCACUCUCCUCUGGAAACACCCUCACAGACAUACCCAGAAUUCAUGUUCUGUUGACUCUCUGGGCCUUCUUCAGCCAACUUAGGUUGAAACAUAAAAUCAGCAAUCACACUGCAAAACCAUUUAUCAAAGCACUCACUGCUGGACUCCGCAGUGAAUCAGAGUAGCCAUUCUGCAUCUGCACCAGAACUCAUGCAGCCUGUACCUCUGUCUAGGACAUUCGGCUUCCCUGCAGGCACUUCCACGGUGGUUCCAGACUAGUGCGGUCCUGAGCUCCCUACGCACCUCAUUUGUUUGGACUUGCAUUGGCUGAGCCCGUGCCUUCUAAUGUGUGUGUGAACCCUGUGUAGAGCUGCAGUCGCUGGGGCAUUCCACCACACUCGGAUUAACACUUCCAACAUGAUUGUGUAAGUCCACCAAAAUCCUAUGUUGCGUGAUUGUCAUUGUUGUCAGAGGGGAGAAUUGAGUCUGGUCCCUUUACUUGCUUUGGUCUCAUGCAGAAGCCCCGCUUUUUAAACACAUGAAGAUCUCUGAAAUCUCUGUGUCUUAGAGUCUACAUCUUUGAUUGAGGGCAGCAUCUUAUUCUGGAAGAGCCUUCCAUAACACCUUUUCUCUGCAGCUUUGAGUUUGCUCUAUAUCAUAACAAUGAUGGAAAGGGGAAGUAAUUCCAAGCAAUAGAUCCUGCACUUUUCUUCUCUCUUUUUUUUCCCUUGGUACUAGGGAUUGAACCAGGGGUGUUUUACCACUGGGCAACAUCUCCAGCCCUUCCUUCCUUUCUUUUAAAUUUUUUUUUUAGUUGUAGAUGGACACAGUACCUUUAUUUUAUUUAUUUAUUUUUAUGUGGUGCUGAGGAUGGAACUCAGUGCCUCAUGCGUGCUAGGCAAGUGCUCUACCACUGAGCUACAACGCACUCCCUUGUCAGCCCUUAUUAUUUUUUUGAGACAGGGUCUCACUAAGUUGCUUAGAGUCUCACUAAGUUGCUGAGGCUGGCUUUGAAUUUGUGAUCCUCCUGCCUAGCCUCCCAAGCUGUUGGGAUUAUAGGUGUGUACCACCAUACCCAGCUACUUUUUCAUUUUUCUUCAAAGUGUGCAUCUUUAAUGUGAAAAACAGUAAAGAAAAUGCUCAUUUUAGCUGCAUGGAUAUCAGAUCAACAGAUCUAUAAUCUAAAUACCUGAUUAGAAGAAUAUGAACUUCAACAUUUCAUUAUCACUUUCAAGGGGUAGCUUGAGCAGGGGUGUGGCAGGGAGCUUGGUACUUGGAAAGACACAUGCUAGAGGACUGGGAAGACCCCAGCUUUGGGAGCAUGCAGAGAGCCAGGGGAAAGAGAGUCUGGGUGAGCAAAUGCAGGCCAUCUGCCUGGGCUUCCAGGCCCAGUGAGUGCAGCCUGCCUUGGCUUGAGGACACAUUAGAUCAGGUGAUGCCAUGAGGACACUGUAGAGAUUUGGGUUUAGAAAGAGUUCAAGAGGUUGGAGAGAGAAAGAAUGGUGGGAAUUGAGGAUGGGGGAUGUUUGCCCGUGUCAUGGUGUUAUCAGAUCUAAUCAGCAAGGAGAGAUGUCCUUGUUCUGAGCUCUCAGGCCCUGAAUCUUCACCCCAGGUGUGAGUGUGAGCAUGGACAUCAAAUGCAUUUCCUAGAAGUACUUUUCUUCCACAGGAAGAGACUAACCAAGGAACAAAGGAAGUGUUUGCUGGUUUCUUGCCCGAUGUAUCUGUCAGGGUGUGUCACUGCCAGGGCAUUGGGCGGUUAUCUCCAGAACCUGAGCAUGUGUCCCACAGGCAUCUGGCUGCUCACAAUCAAGAAUGCAGGAAGCAAGGACAAAGAGCACCUGCGAAGGGCCAGAUCAUGUGUCCUGUAGGCUUCGCAGAUCAAGAGGCAAAAUUGAGGAUGUCAUGUAGAUACUUCCCAUGAACAUUCUUUUGCAUUGAAGACAUUUAAAAUAUAAAACUAAGUGAAGAUAUCUAUGAUCAUUCGCCUAUUAAUGAGAAGAAAGUGUUUUUUGGGGGGUAUAGAAUUUUUACUAAUUUUAUUUCAGAGUCAGUGUGUCCAGUCAUCAGAUAGAUUUCACAUAUUCAUCUAUAGAAACCAUUCUCAGUUGUGUGUAGGGACAGACAAGGCCAGGCACUGAAAAUAGCAGGAAACAGUUUUAUUUGGCUGCAGCCAGGUUCAGUGGGCACAGCUUUUGCUGUAUUCAAUUAAUCUCCUGAACCCCAAGUUUAGGUAGUUUCAGAGUUUUAUACCCAGCAUGUAAGGGAAGGGGCUCAGAAGUUCAAAGUCUGCAGAAGUUCACAUAGAAGCAGCUUUUUAUUUCACUGUUUUGGGCAUGUUAACCCUUCAAGGACAACAUCUGAGAAGGAGAGAACUUCUUCUCUCCUUUCUUUUCUCCCUUACUAGCUGUUACCAUGGAGCCCAAUUGUAACUUAUCUUAAAAACGUAGACAUCUCUGUGAAGCCCAGCUCAAGGCCAGAGGCCUUGUUCGCACAUUUCUACAAACUACUAUACUGGAUACAUGUUUGUGAAAAACUAGUAAGGGGUGUCCAGCACCUGGAGUGCUGGUAUCUUCCCGGCCAGUGGCCAAGAGAAUAGGGCGACACAAAAAUAGGAAGUUUAUCUACAUUGGACUCUUUUGCAGAGACUCUUUUGCUGACAGUCCUAAAAUCAGCCAUGGUGGGGCCACAGGACUCAAACGGGGCUUGGGAAAGUCAGUCAGGACUCACCCGUUGCAUUGGUCACCCGGCAAAGGGAACGAACGGUCACCAUUUGCACGGGAUACCUCCUUGGCAGAGAACUGACGUCAUGGGUGGAGGAGAUAACUUCAUUGAAACCAGCGCAACAGCAUCAAAUAAAUUUAUAAGAGUAAACAGUAACUCAGCAGUCAAACAGAACAAGAAGUAACAUGAGCAGCAUAAAAAAGCAAGGAAGAAAAGGAGUACAAACAAUGAAGGACAGCCUAAAUAUUCAGGAGGAUCUAGAGUCAUUAGAAAAAUGGUCAUAUAAAGAUCUCAAGGAAUACCUUAGACAGAUGGAAUGGAACCUUAAAGAGGAUACGAGACAGCAAAUCCAAACAGUGAAAGAGCACAUUGAAAUUGAAUUACAUAAACAGAUAAAAGAAGAAGUUAAGCAUCUUUAUCAGGAGAUAGAGAUUAUAAAAAAAAUCAAACAAUAAUUCUAGAAAUGAAGGAAACGAUAAACCAAAUUAAAAACUCAAUUGAGAGUAUCACUAAAAGAAUGGAGCAAGUAGAAGCCAGAACGUCAGAUAAUGAAGACAAAAUAUAUCAUCUUGAAAAGAGUCUAGCCAACUCAGAAAGGCUGGUAAAAAAUCACAAGAAAAACAUCCAAGAGAUAUGGGAUAAUAUAAAAAAAACAAACUUAUGAGUCAUCGGGAUAGAGGAAGGUACAGAGAUUCAAACCAAGGGAAUGAGUAACCUGCUGAAUGAAAUAAUUACAGAAAACUUUCCAGAAAUAAAAAAGGAAACGGAUAUACAAAUUGUAGAUGCAUACAGGACACCGAGCACACAAAAUCACAGUAGACCAACGCCAAGACACAUUGUUAUGAAGAUAUCCAAUAUACAGAACAAAGAGAAAAUAUUAAAAGCUACAAGAGAAAGGAGGCAGAUUACAUUCAGGGGUAAACCAAUAAGGUUAACAACGGAUUUUUCAUCACAGACGCUGAAAGCGAGAAGAUCCUGGAACAACGUAUUUCAAACACUGAAAGACAAUGGAUGCCAACCAAGAAUUCUGUAUCCAGCAAAAUUAAGCUUCAGGUACGACAACGAAAUAAAAAUCUUUCAUGAUAAACAAAAGCUAAAAGAAUUUGCAGCCAGAAAACCAGCAUUGCAAAGCAUCUUGAGCAAAACACUACACGAGGAAGAAAUGAAAAACAAUAACCAAAACCAUCAGUGGGAAGUGCCUCUGUAAAGACAGAGGGCGGG